AUUCUGAGAGUCUGAAGAGAACUCAAGUUUGCAAUCUCAUCUUCAGGUAAAACACGCUGCUUUGUUGUUAUCUCCAAAUGUUGGAGAUUGAUCAAUUUUUUUAAACCUUUAGGCAGUGCUUCAAGUUUUGUACAUCCACUGAGUAUCAACAUUUCUAACAUCAGAAGGUUGCAUAUAGAAUCCGGAAGUUUCUUAAUAUUACUAUUAUUCUCAAGACUGAGAUAUCUUAAAUGUAUCAGGUUGCCAAUGGACCUAGGCAAGGUCUCAUACGUAGAGUCACUUAAAUCUAAAAAUCGUAGAUGUUUGCAGAUUGACGUGCAUGCAUUCAAGAAAGCUCUACUGUUUGGUCCAAUUCCAACUGUAGGAAAUAGUAUGCUCUUCACAUAUUUAUAUUUUUUAGAGAGAAAUUUGUCAAGGAUCAGUGGGUUUUUUUCCCAGAAAGACAGAUGCUGGCGAUAGGAAUAUGUAGUUGUAAGUGUAACUGACCAAGCAAGAUCAUGCACCAAAUCAGGUAUCUUGAAUGCAAAACCAAUGCCAUAGUCGACAAAAUCUUGAAGAAAAUAUAUUGACAACAGCUCAAACAAAUAAUGGUUGGCACUAUAUUUCAAUGUUUGAUUUUGGUUUCUGUUUGGUGCUGGAAGGAGACCAAGUGCUCUCCAUAGUGAUGUUACAUGAAAACUAUCAAAUGUAUGACCCCUUGGGUAAAGAGACAAUGUAGCAAAGCAUUUCUUCAUAUCAGAUGGCAUUUGAGCAUAGCUUAACUUAAGUGCCGAUAAAAUCUCAUCUGUGCCUGGUAAAUUCCAAAUUUCGUUGUCUCUCACGUUUUCCCAAUCCCCUGUCUCAUAUUUUGAAAAAAGUAAACCCCCUAUUGCUCUCACUGCCAAGGGAAUUCCACCACAUCUUUUCACAAUUUCCCUUCCAAUAUUUACCAAAUGUGGAUACCUACUCUCUUCUCCUUCUUUAAAGGCCCAUUUGACAAAUAAAGAUAAUGAAUCCUCCAGAGAAAGGCCUUCUAAAAUGUGUGGGGAAACGGUUCCCAUCAUGGAAGCAAUCGAGUUAAAACGUGUAGUAACUAAGAUUUUACUUCCUGGAGCACCUGCAUGUAUUAAAUCCCUCAGCUGAAUCCAUUUAAAACGAUCUUCAUUCCACACAUCGUCUAAGACGAGCAGAAACUUCUGACCAGUAAGUUUGUUUAUAAGAUGAUUCUGCAGUUGCUCGAUUUCUAAAUCUCUAUAAUUUUGUUGGUAAGCAGGAGCAUCCCCUUUAAGAGAGUCAUUAGCAGAAUUGAUAAUCUUAAUAAUUACUUCCUUAAUGUCAAAGCCAUAAAUAUCUGCAACACACACCCACAUCUUGAAUGAGAAACACCUACUUAUCAUCUCAUCAUUAAACACAAACUUCGCAAGUGUGGUCUUUCCGAGGCCACCAAGCCCAACUAUAGGAAUAACAGAUAGAUUUUGAUCAUUAUCAUGCUGAACCAAAAGAUCUAUGAUCUUUCUUUUAUUAUGAUCCCUUCCUAUCACUUCUGAAUUAAUCACACGAGAAUAUGUCAUUUCUCUUCUGUGCGUUACAGGUGUGUCAUUGGGAACAUCAAUUAUCUGAAAACCAAACUUAAUCCUAUCAGCUGCAAUCUUGUCUAGUCGCUUGUUGAUUUCUUUAAUUUUCCUAGCUAUUCUAAAACGGAAAGCAAGUGGAUUACAACGUGAGAAGAAAUGAUCUACCUUGGUUAUGAUUCUGCCACCAUUAUCUUUGAUCACUUUUUUUCGCAGGUUUUGAAACUCAACCUCAUUAAACACAUAUUCUGCAUCAGUGAGGGCAACUUCUAACAGCCUCCGCCAAUUCCCCAGCUCAUCUCUCAAACUUCUAACAAGCUCCUUCUGCUUUUGUUCGACAUCCAACAACACUGAUUUGAUGUAUGAAAGAGUUUGUGUGAACUGUUGGAGAUCCGUGUGUACACCCAGCACCUGACAAACUUCUUCAUAUGCUCGAGAAGCAAGCUUUUCUAUCAGUGACUCCGCCAAGCCAAAGAGGACUAAUGCAUCCAUAAGACCAAGACUGGUGGUUUGGUUUUAAGUAAUGGUUUUUGAUUAUAUUAUAGACACACACACACAUCUCCAAGUUUUGUAUAAUGAUAAAAAUCCUUCUAAUUUGGACCUAGACCACAUAUUUGCUUUAAGUAAGGUGCAAUCAGCCAAUCACAACUUUGAAAGUUGCCUAGACCACAUAUUUGCUUCUUAAAAUACGCAAAAGUCCUUCUACUUUGGACCUAAAGUUACAAAGCACUAAAGUUACAAAUCUAACAGUUCAUAAAACAAGUCAACUUCUCACAAAACAAGCCAGUAGUGGGAUCAAAACCAGCGCAGUAGUAGAAGUCCAACAAAAAAAUAACUUUCGGGAAUUUUUUUAAUUUUUGAGUUUUUAAUGGUUUUAUUUAAUUUAAAUAUAUUUUAAUAAAUCCAUGUCACAAUAUUCAUCAUUAAAGAAAAAAUUCGUGUUAUAUCAAAAAUAAAUAAAUAAAUUUGUGUCAAUAUAUAUAUAAGGGCCGGUUCGAACGCCGGUCAUCCCACUUAUCCACCUUAAUGUUGAAAUUUCUAGCCAAUUAGGCUACUUGGAGAUUUGGAGUUAAUUAUUGAACUUGAAUGUGUUAUAAGCCACUUCAAAACGAAAACUCAUUUUUGAAAUGUGUAAACCAGUUCAGAACAUGAAACUAGCUUUUUAACCGUUUAAAACCAGUUCAAUAAUUAACUCAGGUGUGGAAAAAAGAAAUGGGAUAUCUAUCUGGUAUAUGCUUGCAGAGUCUUGACUAGGCAUGGCAACAGAACCCGUACUCGCGGGUACCCGCCCGAACCCACCCCGAGUUUGACAUGGAAAAACCGAUUUGACUGAGUUUGGGUUCGGGNNNNNNNNNNNNNNNNNNNNNNNNNNNNNNNNNNNNNNNNNNNUUGGUACCCACCCCGAACCCGUCCCCGAACCCGCCCGUUUAUAUAAAAUUACUAUAUUACCCCUAUUUAUUUAUAAUGUCACAAAUCAUAUAACUCGUCUUCUCGCUUCCCAGUUCCCACUUCACGUCUUUGCCACUUCCCACUUCCAACUAAUUCUCUUUCUCAUUUCCAAUAAUUUCACUUCCCAAAAAGCAGUAAUUCUCUUGACUUAUUAUCAUUGUAUGAGAUCUCGCAAUCUCAAGCGAUAAUAUUAUUAACCAGACCAGAUACAUAGAUGUGGAAAUGUCACAAAGGCUGAUCAGGCUAACUGGUUAAGUUUGCAGGAGUGAUGACUUUCAUGCAUCUCAGUAUUAAUUCUACAUACUGAACAAAUUAAAAAAACUCCAAAGUUUUAAAAAGACCAAAAUGUUAAUUCAAUGUUUGUAUGCUCAAACUAAUUAGAAUGGAACUGAACAAUUUGCAUGUGAAAACUCAAUCACAUAUUUAAGCUGGUAUAUGUUUCUAAUUGUAGGGUUCCAAAGAGAAGCGCACAAGUUUGAGAAACAGCAAAUCACAAAAAAAAUUAGGAGCCUAAGAGGUGCUGCUUAGUGCUUAUGCUGACAACCGACAAUCCUCCAGUCUGGUACGGCACACCUUUACUUGUCUUUCUCUUCACGUAGUGAGGUAACUCUUCCUUGGUCCAAUCAAAUUCUAACAAACAAUAAGAAAAAUAAAUAAAAACAACAUACAGUAGAAGAAGAUUAAAGAGGUCCUCAAGAACAACAGUAUGACUGUAUGAGAAGCUAAAAAUAAAAUAAAAAUCUUGAAACAUUUAUCUUUGAUAAUAAAGCUUACCUUAGCCCUGAUUUUUGCUAUUACUCCAUUUCUUCAUCCACUUCGUCUAGCUCAUCAAUGGUAUUGUAUGUGCGGGAUGACUCCCCAACUUCCUGCUUAAAUUUUCUAAGUAAUUCAGGAUAACCAUCAAUUUUAAAUCGUUCGAGGGUGGUGAGGCCAUGAAUAUCAUCGGGCAGGGACGUUAGAUUAGGACAACCUGUGAUACAUAUUGUUUUCAGACAAUAUAUUCAUAGAUGACAGCCACUGAGGAACUGCUACAAGAUUGUUGCAGCUUGAAAUUGACAAGUAUUGUAAUGAAUUCACGGACCCUCGAAGCCAAUGAGGCAAUGUAAUCAACUGGGGAAUAGAAACGAUAGUUAGAACCUUCAAUCUCAUGUUGGAAUUUUGGCCCUCAUGUCCCUCGGAAAAUUCCAAUAUGUCACAGUGGUCAACUAGCAAAGUCUCCAAUGCAGGAACAUGUUUAAUAUCAGGUGGCAAAGACUUUAGAUUAAUGCAAUUUACAAUACACAAUACUUUGAGUGCUGGGAGAUUGUUGCAAAACUCGAUUCUGAGAGUCUGAAGAGAACUCAAGUUUGCAAUAUCAUCUUCAGGUAAAACACACUGCUUUGUUGUUAUCUCCAAAUGUUGGAGACUGAUCAAAUUUUUUAAACCUUUAGGCAGUGCUUCAAGUUCUGUACAUCCACUGAGUAUCAACAAUUCUAACAUCAGAAGGUUGCAUAUAGAAUCCGGAAGAUUCUUAAUAUUUCUAUUAUUCUCAAGACUGAGAUAUCUUAAAU
rnacentral:lncRNA from 1 species